rnacentral:rRNA from 1 species
CCCAAUUCUAACAGCAUAAGAGAGGUAGUGACAAGAAAUAACAAUACAAGGCAAUUAAAAUGCUUUGUAAUUGGAAUGAUAGAAAUUUAAACACUUUUUAAAGUAUCAAUUGGAGGGCAAGUCUGGUGCCAGCAGCCGCGCUAAUUCCAGCUCCAAUAGCGUAUAUUAAAAUUGUUGCAGUUAAAAAGCUCGUAGUUGAAUUUCUGCUAAGAAUAACCGGUCUGCUUUUAAUAAAAGUGGUAUCUUGGUGUGUUUUUAGCAAUAAUGUCCUUUGAAAUGCUUUUUUACUUUAUUGUAAAAAGCAAUAUUCAGGAUUUUUACUUUGAGAAAAUUAGAGUGUUUCAAGCAGGCUU